CCUACGGGUGGCAGCAGUGAGGAAUAUUGGUCAAUGGGCGCAAGCCUGAACCAGCCAAGUAGCGUGAAGGAUGACGGCCCUACGGGUUGUAAACUUCUUUUAUAAGGGAAUAAAGGGAGAUACGUGUAUCUUUUUGAAUGUACCGUAUGAAUAAGGAUCGGCUAACUCCGUGCCAGCAGCCGCGGUAAUACGGAGGAUCCGAGCGUUAUCCGGAUUUAUUGGGUUUAAAGGGAGCGUAGGUGGGUUGUUAAGUGAGUUGUGAAAUUGUGCGGCUCAACCUUGGAAUUGCAAUUGAUACUGGUAGGCUUGAGUAUAGUUGAGGUAGGCGGAAUGCGUGGUGUAGCGGUGAAAUGCUUAGAGAUCACGCAGAACUCCGAUUGCGAAGGCAGCUUACUAAGCUGCCACUGACAUUGAUGCUCGAAAGCGUGGGUAGCAAACAGGAUUAGAUACCCGGGUAGUC
rnacentral:rRNA from 1 species